rnacentral:tRNA from 1 species
GCCUGGCUGUCUCAGUUGGUAGAGUGUGUGAGUCUUGAUCUCAGGGUCAUGAGUUCAAGUCCCAUAUUGGGCA